rnacentral:misc_RNA from 1 species
CUUCGACCUGUAUGGUACCUCUAGUCUUUCCAUUAAUUUGGACUGGAAGGACUACAGUACUCUCUUUUAAAUAUGCAGUAUCAGCCUUAGGAAAGGGCUCAUAUGCCAAGGAAUUUGAGUGUCCCAGACGAGACCAGAGCUCCUCUGCCAUGUGAGGUGCAUAUGGUGAGAGCAGCAAAACAAAUGCUUCAAUAAUUGAUCUCGGAAGCUUGUCCCACUAAAGACAUGAGACCCAACAGAUUAGUUCAAAUGC